rnacentral:ribozyme from 2 species
UUUUUUUUUUUUUUUUUUUUUUUUUUUUUUC